CGAUCUCGGUUCCGCCGUCGUCCACACUCCUCCCCUCUUUUCCAAUUUUACUCUUAAUCGGGUGUUUCGCUAAUCGGGUUAUUACAGAUUUACUCUCCCUUUUUACGAUUUAACCCUAGGAAAUUAGGAAUUGAGUUUAUCAAGUGAUACCUGUUGAUAAUUUGCAAUUAUUUUCUUAAAUCGGCAGACGACGGUUUCUUCCCCGCAUCGGUUUCACUUCGCCGGUAACCCUAGGAAUUGACUAAGUGAAGAAGAGGGAUGGAAUGAAUGCUUUGUUGGAGGAGAUUUUGGCAACUUGAAUCUCCAUAUGUUUCGUUCUUGCCCAAACCACUGGAUUGUUGACCAUGAAUAAUACAAACUUGCUGUCACUUAAAAUGUGCCGUGCGUUUGGUAAUUGAAUGAAUACCCAAUUAUUGAACGAGGCAACAGAAGCAUCUGUUUAAUCUCAGGUUCAUUUUACAUUUUUCCCUUCUUUAUUUAACAUCAUUUUUCAAGAUAAUUCCUGAUAAAUAAGGGAUUACAAAUCCUAUUUUACAAUCCAUCUGAAGUAGUGAGCAACUCUAGUUUCUGAAUUUGUUGCAAAUGAUGUCAUAAAGAACACUGAUUACGCUCCGAGAAGUGUCUUCUGGUAUCUUUAGAAGAUUGGCUACUUUCAUGAAUCCCCCAUCAUCUUCGUCAAACUCAUGAUCAUCUGAUUCAUUAGUAUCCACAUCUGAUUUGAUCACUGUCAGUAAUUUUGGUGGUUCUAGUGCCCACUGCAUUGCCCAUAUGGCCAGAGGCCUCAUGUAGCUAAUUGAACGGUAGUGCCCAUCUGUGUUCCAACCCUCAGGAGUUUGGAAAGCAUAGCUGUUUUGGAACAAACCAAAACAAAAACAAAUUAAAUUAAAUUAUAUCAAAUGAAUGAGACUAAAAAUCAUUGACGAACCUUUGCCCAUCUUCACUCCAUGAAGUUUCAUAUAUCCCUUGUGCAGUUUUAAAACCUUUUUUAACCAUGCCUUCUUGAAUCAUAGAAGAUGCAACGGCAUAUGUCACUCCCGUCCAUAUCUCCUUGGACUGCAUUGCACUUCCAUCAACAGUGCCAUUUGGUCGCAUCCCAUUCACAGCUCCCACCUUUCCACCCCCAACCUUUAAGACAUUGAGAUCAAAUACCUUCUCCAGUGCAAUCAGAGCUUUCGCAUCAUCGACAAUAGGAAGAAGACCGCAUGCUCUAGCAUACCUAAAAUUUACAUGGCGUUGUAUUAUUCAUUUAUUUUUAAGUUUCUUCAUUUGAAAUUUAUAAACUACUAAGUGUAUGUACCAUUGUCCAGCCAAUUGAUCAGCUUGUAUCGAGGAGCUUACACUGCUUCCACUGUUGUCAUAGUUGAAGUAAGAUCCAUUCCAUAGUUUUUCUGUAAACACAUUUUUAGCCCUUUGAAAUCUAUUCCAGAAGUACUUUUGAGAAACUUUAUCGCCUAAUAUUGCAGCCAUUGCUGAAGCAGCUUGCAAUGCUGCAACCCACAGUCCCCCUGUGUAAGCACUCACACCAGAAACUGACCAAAAAUCAUAUGUUUGAUCAGGGAAACCUUCAUUCUCAAUCAUCCCAUCUCUAUCUUUGUCAAAUUGAUCCAUAUAAGCUAGUGCCAUAUAAACCGAAGGCCAUACAUCUCUUGCAAAAGAUUUAUCUUUUGUAACCACGACAUCUCGAUAAACUUGCAGAACAAAUUUUGGAUUCAAGUCUUUCCAUCUAUCUGUAUUGUGAAAUUUAUAAGCAUUUACCUCAAACCAGGGAUCAUUCUGUCCCAAGUCAUGAGGAACUGCACCCAAAACUUUUCUAUAAACAAGCUUGCCAUCGGCAUUCAUUUGCACUUUCUCAGGAUCAUCCAUCAUUACUGCAGCUGCAAAAUCUCGUUGGAUAGCAAGUUCAAGCUUUGGGAACAACAUGACCAAUGCAAAUGAUGCAUAGAAAUGGACAUCGUAUGUGUUCCACAUAGUAUACUCAAUCCCUUCAAAAUAGAGAAACUGGCCAAUGUUUUCCUCUCCUUCUUCAAGUAACCUCGUCCCAAAUGCUGAAUUUGACAUGAUCGGUGAAUUUAUUUUCUCGUAUAACGUUGUCAUCUUGUCUAGAACAUGAGCUGCUGUAGAGAAUUGGUUGUUGGAGGUGAAAUCUAUUGGGCUGGUUGUAUUGAUGGAGAACUUGUCUGUUUGAAUGCCUGCCAAACUUUUUAAUGGAGGCGAUCCAUCUAAAAAUGAGAUAUGAAAAUCUUAGAAUUGCAGUUUCAGAAUCCAAACUAAACUUCACCCACAUAUAUAGACUGUAUUAAACAAGGUUUAAAAUCCGACAGUUAACCACCGGUUAACCAGCUGACCAGUAGAUUAGUGCUAACCGAUGAUUAGUUAGUGGUAUUCGGGUCAGAUCCAACCCGAAUACCCGAUACGUUUUAAAAAAUUUAAGGUUUAAAAGCUACGUAGAAAACUACAAUUUCUUGAAAAGUGAAAACUAGUAUUUUACUAUCUAGAAUACUAAAACUUCAUUUCUAUUACAAUUUAUUACUAUGUUUGAAUUUGGAUUUUUAUUACUAUUUUCUUUGAAUUUGAUAUCUAUUAGACUAUUACAAUUAUAAUUUAAACAGGUUUUAUUUAUAGACAGGAUAUAUACUAUAUUUAUAUUCAAAAUUGUAAAAGUACCAGAAUACCCCUACCGGUUACCCACUGGUUAACCGGAUAACCGGUCAGUCAGAACUGGUUACCGACUUACCGGUUAACCGGUUUUUAAACCUUGGUAUUAAAUGCAGGAACACAUUUACCUGUCCAAACUGUUCCUCCCCCAUUAAGAUAAUAGAGCUCAUUGAAUAGUGUAAUUGGAUACCUGUAGUUUAUACUUUAGAUUCAAUCUGCUAAAAAAUAAGUUUGUUUGAAAUUUUGAAUGAUUGAUAGAUUUAAUUUACCAGUCAGGAAGAUUCUUGUCUUGCAGAACAGGUCUUUGCCAUUCUUCAAUCUGAGCUUCCCAUUUCUCAUGCUCUAAUGGAGAUCAAAAGUUGAAAUCUCAAUUGUAAUAGUAAGAAGGUAGUAAAAAAUAGUCACAUUUCAGGUCAGGUAAUUAAUGUUUUUUACCGAAAAUAGCAUCAUGUGCAAGAUUAGAUGCAGCGACAUCUUCUCUUAUGCCGUAGAAUUUGGUGUAACGCCUGUUAUUGGUUUCUUGUCAAUUUAAAUUGAAUAAUUUUUCUAGUUUGUUAUCAACAUCUCAAUAGAAGGAAAUAGUUGGCUGACCGACCUUUUAUAGAUUCUUCCAGCAGGAAAUCUUACAUCUGGGGAAGCCCAUGACAGGGAAAAUGUGAUGGUUCGGACGGAGUGUGCUGGGACAGUUACCAAACACGCAACUGAUGCUCCAAUCGACGAUCCUUCUUCUGAAGGAGUUGAUAUAUUGCUCUGAUCAAGGUGAUCGAAUGAUCCGUGCUUUAAAGAAGAAAGUUUUAUCAAAGAUAUGUUCAUAUAUUCUGAUAUUUAAAAAGAACAAAAUCAUAUUUAUCGAACCUUCUUUAUUUCAUCCCACAUAUUGCUUGCUGUGAAACCUUUAGAGUUUCCAGAUAUUAAGAAGAAUGGGCACUUGGAAACAUGUACAUCUUCAGUUUCCUGUGCUGCUAUGGCAAAUGUUACUGGAGACUGUUCACUUGCCGUUCUGCAUAGUCGAACAAAAUUACAUCAGAAUUUACAAGUUCUUUCUCUGGUUUGAGUUUUUUUUUUAAAUCGACUUGCCUGUGAUGUAAAAGAACACCAUGCACACCAUUCUUUUCCCUGCAUUAUAUGACAUUAGAAUCCUAAUGUAAGAAAAAAUUCAGUAGAUCAUGAAUUGGCUAAAGAUUGGACCUACAUCAUUUUUGAAUUGUAGUGUUUGCCAGUAAAUUCAGAUUUUCCUCCAACUGAGUUCUGCAAGAAUAUUUGUUAUAAUUCUGAUAAGGCUUAUUGAAUAUAUAGGCCUUAACCCACAAUUAUAUAUUCAAGGUGCUUGUGGGUUAUAAGUUUAUUUUCUCUUUGAUUUCUGAGACAAGGAAAGCAUCUUGAUCCAAACACCUUGAGUUUGUCAUAGUCUGGAAUUUUGUUAGAUAAAGCCUCUAAUGGUGAUAUAUUUCCAAGUGUGGUGGUUGGAUUCAAAUUAUAUAUAUGUGUUGCUGCCACUACUGCAUAAGACCAGAAUUGAUCAGGGAGAGAACAAAAAUCCAGCAUGGUGAUUGCUGUAUCUACUAUGUGUCUGUGAUGUCUUUCCACACUCCCCAUCUGUUGAUGGCUAUAAGGAACAGAAAAUCUGUGAAUAAUACCCAAUCCUUCAAGAUGCCUUGAGAGUUUCUUAAAUUCCAGAGCAUUAUUGUUUAAUUGGAUGACCACACUGUAAUUCCACCAUUUUUCUGAAGUUAUCAAACACCUCAGAAACUUGUGAUUUAUUGGACAAGAGAUAGAUCCAAUUAUGGUUGGUGUAAGCAUCUCAACGAAAUUAAUAAAAUAUUUAAAGCCAUCAAUUGAAAGAGUGGGAGAGGGACCCCAAAUAUCAGCAUAGAUCAGUUCCAACGGAUAUGUGUACACAGAGGUAGAAGAUUUAUGAGGAAGAGCAUGAUCUUUCCCAAUAUGACAAGACGUGCAAUCUUCUACUUUGUUACAACUUGAACUAAUCAGACCUCUCUUAAUUAAAGAUAAUACAGAUUUAAAAUUAAGAUGUCCUAGACGACAGUGCCACACCUCACUUGACACUUUUGAUUUCUCUACCAUAGAAACUUCAAGUGGGUGUUUUAUUGAGAGUGACAUUGGAUAAAAUCCAUCCUCCUCUUGAUCCACAGUGAGAACCUUCUUAGUUUCCCGAUCCAUGACCUUGGAUUGCUGUUCAUUAAAUUCAAUAGCCACAUGAUUAUCUUUACAAAAAAAUUUGACAGAUAUGAGGUUCCUGUUAGCAUCUGGAACUACUAGAACAUCAUUAAGAAUAAAAUCAGAUCCUUGACAAGAGAAUUCUGCUCUUCCCAAGUGAGUAAUCUCCAUACCUUCACCAUUGGCAGUCCUAAUACAUUCAGACCCUGUAUAUGGACGUAUAGAGUGGAGAUUUAUACCUGAUUGAGUCACACUAGAGUUUGCUGCUGAAUCCUGAUACCACCUAGCAUUUCCCCCUGAACCAGAUCUGAUCAUGUUGGCAGAAGGAGUUUUGCUGUCAGAGUACUGACCAGGACCAUUGGGAGACAGUGUUCUGCGAUGAUCCGGAGGAAAACGGGAGAGAUUAAUCCUGUUGUAACAAUUCUUCCCGAUAUCACCUUUCUUUGAACAUAUUUGACACCAAAUAUCCUUGUUCAGCCUUCCCGGAGCAUUUUGGCGAUAGAAACCAGGAGAUUUUGCAGCCGCAUUGACUUCGGGAUGAAGAGAAGUAGCAUCCUUCUUUAGUUCCAGGUCAUGAUUCAGAAUUAAUUGUUGAAAUUCCAGGAACUUCGUGUUGUGAUCAAACCUCGUGAUGAUAGAGGUUUUGAAAGACUGGAAUUCUGAUCCAAGACCUCCCAACGUGAUGAGAAUCACUUGUGAAUCCUUGAGAAGUUCUCCAGCACAUGAUAGUUGAUCUCUCAUCAACGUUAUUUUCUUCAAGUAUUCAAUCAUUGUUAGGUUUCCCAUCUUGAUUGUUUGAAGAUUUUGCCGUAGGUGUAGGAGACGAGUCUCUGAACCUGAUGCAAAUAGAGAUUGGAGCGUAGUCCAGACCUCUGCAGAAGUUUGAAGAGCAGCUACCUGCGGCAUAAUCGAUGAUGAUAGCGAGGUGUAGAUCCAGCUUCUGAUAAGUGAAUCCUGCUGAUCUUCCAGGGAAUCUGCCACGAUAGUGACUUUCCCAUCAUCAUAGCGAGUGAGAUUGAAUCCCUUCAGCAUGGUGGCGAACUGAGCGGACCAGCUGAAGUAAUUUGUAUCGUCGAGAACGAUACAUUUUGGAGCCUUCAUAUUGUUGCUGACGAUUGUUGAAUGCCGGUGGUUGCGGAAGCUGAAGAUUGACUGGCCGAUGAUACCAAGCUUUUUGACGCGGCCAGGCGACCAGGCGAUGCCUGGGACCGCAUACCGCAUAUGCGACCGCCUGGUCGCAUAUGCGGUCAAAUAUGCGACCAGCGGUAUUACCUUGUAAUCGCAAAAUACAGUACUACCGAUUCAAAAUACAGUACUACCUAGAAAGUAGAAACGCGAUUUCUACCUAGGGCGAUUUCGAUUUCUACCUAGCACGAUUCCGAUUCCGAUUCAGUAGCAGGCCAGGCGACCAGCGGUUCAGACUUCAGGUUUCCGAUUUCCGUUUUCACGAUUUACUGAUUAAGGGUUUUUAGUGUUUUUUAUUUAAAUGGGUCUUUUUAAUAAGGUCCUUAAGUUUUAAUAAAAAUAAUACAAUUCAUUUAAAGUUUUUAAAUUUCAAUAGGGUUAAUGGAUCGGGUUUAUCCGGAUCCGACCCGGAUCCGGCUAAACCCAAUAAUAUGCGACCCCCCAAAUAUGCGAUGGGGGGUUACCGCCUGGUCGCAUAUGCGCAUAUGCGACCAAUCAAAAAGCUUGGAUGAUACCAUAUCAAAGAUAUGAAUUGAAAUGAGAGUUGGUAAAGAUUGGCAAUGAAAACCGUGGUUUGCAUUAGCCACAGCCUAUUGAAUAUAUAGGCUGGGAAAAGUAAAAAGUAGAUCUCAACUACCUUGAGGUAGUGGAUCAGUACAAUAUAAUAACAGAAAUAAAGUGAAACAGUAAAGUAAUUCUACUUUAACUAAUUAGAGCAAAUAAUUGUAUUUACUCUAAUAUUUACUUUAACAGGGCUAUAAGGGAUUGAUUAUAAAUUUCAACUUACAGUCCAAGUGAACAACAGAGUUGCUUCAGCAGAGGUAUCUCCCGAAUUAAUUAGCUGAAUCAAUUAAUCAAAUACAAAUGCAUAAAAACUCUAAAAUUUGAAUCAAUAUAUCCUGAAUCGAUAUUUUUUCGAAAAGAAAUCAUACUGUAAAUGAAAAAAUUGCUACUGGCAAACUACUUUGUUCAUAGUUGUUGGGAAUUAUUGGUGUUAUCUGACGACUAAUUAUUGUGAACAUUGAAUCAGGUACUCCUGCAUUGACAAAAGUAAAGAUGAUAUUGACAGAAAAAGGAUAAAAAGUAUGAACUUAUUCGAUCACCUUCGUAAACGGUCCAAGCCCUAGGAUACAAAGCAUGAUAUGUACAAUCAGAUCCAUUCAAGUUCCAAUCCCAAGAACUGCUUCCAUAUUCACUACCGUUCCUGCACAUCAAUAUUUCAUCAAUAAUCUAAUCUUAAAACCCAAUGGUAAAACGAAUUUAUUUUUAUUUUUACUUAAGAUGUUCUUCAUUUCUGGGAGACAAAACUGUAGAUUUCCUUUUACCAUUAGCUCGUUUGACAAAUACCGAAAAUUGAUUGGCUAAUAUCGGUUGUUCCUCCCAUUUUCCAGGAAAUAGUUGAAAUCUCUGAAACUCACCUCGAUAGCUUCUUCCUAUACUUCCUGCACUGAAGAUUUUGAAGGGAAGAAGAAAACCUUUAAAAAGCAGUGAUGGUGGUGAAUAAAACCAGAGCUCAAACUCACCCAAUCCCACCAAGUGG
rnacentral:lncRNA from 1 species